ensembl:rRNA 5S_rRNA 5S ribosomal RNA
GCUUACGGCCAUACCACUCUGAGCAUGCCCGAUCUCGUCUGGUCUCAAAAGCUAAGCAGGAUUGGGCCAGGUUAGUACUUGGAUGGGAGACCGCCUGGGAAUACCAGG